rnacentral:rRNA from 1 species
AGUUCGGAUUGUAGUCUGCAACCCGACUACAUGAAGCUGGAAUCGCUAGUAAUCGCGGAUCAGAAUGCCGCGGUGAAUACGUUCCCGGGUCUUGUACACACCGCCCGUCACACCAUGGGAGUCGGAAAUGCCCGAAGUCUGUGACCCAACCUUAGGGAGGGAGCAGCCGAAGGCAGGUCGGAUGACUGGGGUGAAGUCGUAACAAGGUAAC